GUGAAGUCAAGAUGGAUUCUCAACGUGAAGGAUUAUUUUAAAAUAAAUGUUACUAUUUAAAUGAUUUCAAAAGAUAAAACAUAAACUAUCAAGCUGAGGCACCAGAAUAAUGUUUUUAAAUCUUUAAUCUUUAAGGAGACGUCGGCUUUACCCUGAUCAGUUUUCCUUCAGUCGUGUCUCAUUAAAGCCGUGCUUGUGUUAAAGAUGGAGCUGCAGGAGUCGCAGCUGUUCAGGGCCAUCAUGGCGGCCGCUCUGCCCAGUCAGGUGCACUCCAGGCUGGGCUCAGGGAGCAGCUCCAGCCCCUGCACCCCCGCCAUGCAGCGCGCUCACCUCCACCAGAACGCGAACCUGCGCUCCAGCCGAGACUCCGGCCCACAGCAGCUCUCUGUCCGACAUGUGGUCUCUCCCCCCUGUCCCCCGUCUCUCCUCGCUCCCCCGCUGAUGACGUGUUCUGGGACGCCCCGGAGACGCCCCCAAAGGUCCCAGAGAGAACUACCUCAAAGUUUUACUGCAGAGAACUGAUCAAGGGCCACAACAGGACGCCCUCCAGUGGCAGCCCGGCGUCACUGUUCGAUCAAAGGUCUGCCUUCAACAGCAGUCACCCAGGAUUCUUCCGCCAGGAGAGUCCUCUGUUACUGCACCGUCCACAGAACCACAGAGUCUCACAGGAAAACCACUCUCAGGGAGUGAAGUGUCGCCUGCACAAAGCCACAGAUUACUCCUCGUCCAGCGAUGAAGUCGGCAGCAGCGACGAAGACGAGAGGAGCAGGUCCAGACCUGGUUUAUCGAAUGGAAAAGGGAAACGUUUCAAAGGAAUCCACAACGGCAUCGAACUCCGGCCUCAGCACAGCCUCCUGCAGCUCUCGCCCAAAGUAACUUCAGUCAGAAUAAUGAAGAAUAAUAAAGGAAUAAGAGUCGUCACUUACAGUCGUCUCUGA
rnacentral:lncRNA from 1 species